AGACGAACCGGCCGAACGUUAUUCGGAAUUACUGGGCUUAAAGAGUGCGUAGGCGGCCUUUCAGGUGAGGUGUGAAAUCCCCCGGCUCAACCGGGGAACUGCGCUUCAAACCGUUUGGCUUGAGGGAGAUAGAGGUGAGCGGAACUGAUGGUGGAGCGGUGAAAUGCGUUGAUAUCAUCAGGAACACCUGUGGCGAAAGCGGCUCACUGGGUCUCUUCUGACGCUGAGGCACGAAAGCUAGGGUAGCGAACAGGAUUAGAAACCCCGGUAGUCC
rnacentral:rRNA from 1 species